rnacentral:rRNA from 1 species
UACGUAGGGGGCAAGCGUUGUCCGGAAUUAUUGGGCGUAAAGGGCGCGUAGGCGGCCAUGCGUGUCUUCCGUGAAAUCCCUCGGCUUAACUGAGGACGUGCGGAAGAAACUGCAAGGCUCGAGUCCGGGAGAGGGGGGUGGAAUUCCCAGUGUAGCGGUGAAAUGCGUAGAUAUUGGGAGGAACACCGGUGGCGAAGGCGGCCCCCUGGACCGGUACUGACGCUGAGGCGCGAAAGCGUGGGUAGCAAACGGG